rnacentral:rRNA from 1 species
CAGUCGCCGCAGGAAUACGAAGGGUGCAAACGUUGCUCGGAAUUAUUGGGCGUAAAGCGCACGUAGGCGGCUCCGCAAGUCGGAUGUGAAAUCCCUCGGCUUAACCAAGGAAGUGCAUCCGAAACUGCAGAGCUUGAGUACUUAAGAGGAUCGCGGAAUUCCCGGUGUAGAGGUGAAAUUCGUAGAUAUCGGAGGAACACCGAUGGCGAAGGCAGCCCCCUGGGCCAAUACUGACGCUCAUGCACGAAAGCGUGGGGAGCAAACAGGAUUAGAUACCCCCGUAGUCCCUGUCUCUUAUACA